rnacentral:lncRNA from 1 species
UAUAUGUUUAAUUGCAACUAUUAUAUGAGCCUAUUUUAAGGAUGAUUGUGUGAUUCAGACAAAAAUGGGAAAAAAGAUAAAGAGGGACAAUUGGAUUCAUGGCGUUUCACAAAUAUUGAAAUUGAAGCAAUAAUGAAUAGAUGUAAUGAAUGGCUCAGAUUGCUGUCAAAAUAUUCACUUUAUAGAAAGAGUAUUAGAUUACAUUUUGGAAAAUUGGAACUGUAAACAGGGAGUGGGUAGUUUCUUCAAUUUCAAUAUUUAUGAAAUAUGUCAUGAAUCCAAUUUCCAUCUUUAUCUUUCUUCAAUGUGCUCACUGUUCCUCCCAUUUUUUUCUGAACCACAUAAUCAUCUUUAAAGUAUAGAAUAGUUGCAAUUGGACAUGCAUUGUUUCUGUUGAA